AGUGAACGCUGGCGGUAGGCCUAACACAUGCAAGUCGAACGGCAGCACAGGAGAGCUUGCUCUCUGGGUGGCGAGUGGCGGACGGGUGAGGAAUACAUCGGAAUCUACCUUUUCGUGGGGGAUAACGUAGGGAAACUUACGCUAAUACCGCAUACGACCUACGGGUGAAAGUGGGGGACCGCGAGGCCUCACGCGAUUAGAUGAGCCGAUGUCCGAUUAGCUAGUUGGCGGGGUAAUGGCCCACCAAGGCGACGAUCGGUAGCUGGUCUGAGAGGAUGAUCAGCCACACUGGAACUGAGACACGGUCCAGACUCCUACGGGAGGCAGCAGUGGGGAAUAUUGGACAAUGGGCGCAAGCCUGAUCCAGCCAUACCGCGUGGGUGAAGAAGGCCUUCGGGUUGUAAAGCCCUUUUGUUGGGAAAGAAAUCCUGUCGAUUAAUACUCGGUGGGGAUGACGGUACCCAAAGAAUAAGCACCGGCUAACUUCGUG
rnacentral:rRNA from 1 species